rnacentral:rRNA from 1 species
UACAGAGGGGGCAAGCGUUGUUCGGAAUUACUGGGCGUAAAGGGCGCGUAGGCGGCCUCUUAAGUCGAACGUGAAAUCCCCCGGGCUCAACCCGGGAACUGCGUCCGAUACUGGGAGGCUUGAAUCCGGGAGAGGGAUGUGGAAUUCCAGGUGUAGCGGUGAAAUGCGUAGAUAUCUGGAGGAACACCGGUGGCGAAGGCGGCAUCCUGGACCGGUAUUGACGCUGAGGCGCGAAAGCUAGGG